UUAAAUCUACCGGCUCAACUGGUAGUCGCACCCCCAACAGCAGCUCUUGAGUAAAGUAGAGGCAGGCGGAAUUCCUAGUGUAGCGGUGAAAUGCGUAGAUAUUAGGAGGAACACCAGUGGCGAAGGCGGCUUGCUGGGCUUUUACUGACGCUGAGGCUCGAAAGUGUGGGGAGCAAACAGGAUUAGAUACCCUGGUAGUCCACACCGUAAACGAUGAUUACUAGGUGUGGGGGGUCUGACCCCCUCCGUGCCGGAGCAAACGCAAUAAGUAAUCCACCUGGGGAGUACGGCCGCAAGGUUGAAACUCAAAGGAAUUGACGGGGGCCCGCACAAGCAGUGGAGUAUGUGGUUUAAUUCGAAGCAACGCGAAGAACCUUACCAGGUCUUGACAUCGGAUGCAUAACCUAGAGAUAGGCGAAGUCCUUCGGGACAUCCAGACAGGUGGUGCAUGGUUGUCGUCAGCUCGUGUCGUGAGAUGCUGGGUUAAGUCCCGCAACGAGCGCAACCCUUGUAUUCAGUUGCUACGCAAGAGCACUCUGGAUAGACUGCCGUUGACAAAACGGAGGAAGGUGGGGAUGACGUCAAAUCAUCAUGCCCCUUACGACCUGGGCCACACACGUACUACAAUGGCGCACAACAGAGGGAAGCAAGACAGCGAUGUGGAGCAAACCCCUAAAAUGCGUCCCAGUUCAGAUUGCAGGCUGCAACCCGCCUGCAUGAAGUCGGAAUUGCUAGUA
rnacentral:rRNA from 1 species